ACGAACGCUGGCGGCGUGCUUAACACAUGCAAGUCGAACGGAAAGGCCCUGCUUCUGUGGGGUGCUCGAGUGGCGAACGGGUGAGUAACACGUGAGUAACCUGCCCUUGACUUUGGGAUAACUUCAGGAAACUGGGGCUAAUACCGGAUAGGAGCUCCUGCUGCAUGGUGGGGGUUGGAAAAUUUCGGCGGUUGGGGAUGGACUCGCGGCUUAUCAGCUUGUUGGUGGGGUGGUGGCUUACCAAGGCUUUGACGGGUAGCCGGCCUGAGAGGGUGACCGGCCACAUUGGGACUGAGAUACGGCCCAGACUCCUACGGGAGGCAGCAGUGGGGAAUAUUGCACAAUGGGCGGAAGCCUGAUGCAGCAACGCCGCGUGCGGGAUGACGGCCUUCGGGUUGUAAACCGCUUUCGCCUGUGACGAAGCGUGAGUGACGGUAAUGGGUAAAGAAGCACCGGCUAACUACGUG
rnacentral:rRNA from 1 species